CAAACUCUCCCUUAAACUCAUUAGCAGAUUGCUCACAUAUGACUUGGCCCUUGGAGUUGACCUCUGGUCCAAUUACCCAGGGGUUAGUUCUUCCAUAGGCUUCUUUAUGAAUAACUGGCUGAGAAAUGUCCAUGUAGUGUCCAACUCCUACAAGAUGUUCUCAGAAACCUAUAAGGAUGACAGUUCACUCCAACCCCAUUCCUUGGAAGGGAAGUGAGUCUCUUCAUGACCAACUGUGGGCGUGAUGAUGUGUGAAGUUCUACGUCUAUGGAUCAGGUAUCGUGCCAUGGAUGCUUUUCAAGGGUGCUACUUAUAUACUGCAAGUGUUUUCCCUCUCUGCCAGGGCAUAAUGCUGUUCAACAGAAGGGCAUCUCUCUUAUGAAGAGACAACAAGCUUAUUACCUCUGUCCCUCAUGCCAUUCAGGAAGAUAUCCUCUGGGACACGUGGGAAAUGAAUGAGAUAUUCCUCGAGUUCCCAUCGGACAGACUGUAGACAGAAAAUGUUUGCUUGACUUUGAUUGAACCAGUGAACUGGAGGAGAAUCUGGGCUCUAAGUAUCAGCCACUAUCACUUUCAUCAUCAUCUUACAACUAGGCAAGAAAUACUGAGACAGUCACUUCCCAUCAAUGCCAGGCCCUUGUUCUAAGAACUUAAAUAAAAACAUUUAAGAUGAUGG
rnacentral:lncRNA from 1 species